rnacentral:rRNA from 1 species
CGUGUUCCCUUCGGGGACAGAGUGACAGGUGGUGCAUGGUUGUCGUCAGCUCGUGUCGUGAGAUGUUGGGUUAAGUCCCGUAACGAGCGCAACCCUUAAUCUUAGUUGCCAGCAUUAAGUUGGGCACUCUAAGGUGACUGCCGGUGACAAACCGGAGGAAGGCGGGGAUGACGUCAAAUCAUCAUGCCCCUUAUGACCUGGGCUACACACGUGCUACAAUGGAUGGAACAAAGGGACGCGAAGCGGCGACGUGAUAGCCAAUCCCACAAAACCAUUCCCAGUUCGGAUUGCAGGCUGCAACUCGCCUGUAUGAAGCCGGAAUCGCUAGUAAUCGCGGAUCAGAAUGCCGCGGUGAAUACGUUCCCGGGCCUUGUACACACCGCCCGUCACACCACGAGAGUUGGCAACACCCGAAGUCGGCGAGGCAACCAUUUUGGAGCCAGCCGC